rfam:Jeotgalibacillus soli Cunha et al. 2012 strain P9 contig00016, whole genome shotgun sequence.
GCGGAAGUAGUUCAGUGGUAGAACAUCACCUUGCCAAGGUGGGGGUCGCGAGUUCGAAUCUCGUCUUCCGCU